GCUGUAGCUCAGUGCUAGAGCAUCUGUCUUGAAUGCAGAAGGUUCCAGGUUCACUUCCUGGCAUCACCA